rnacentral:rRNA from 1 species
ACCUCAGAUCAGGCGAGACAAC